UCUUUUUCCAACAGGAAAGGUUUUACUAACCAGUGAAUUAAUAGGGGAAUCGUGUGAGAAUCACGAGCUGUCGCGCAACUGUAAGUAACGUUUGAAAUUUUUAACGUUACGAGUCAGAAAACCUGCCUUUUCUUUGUUGACAAU
rnacentral:ncRNA from 2 species